rnacentral:lncRNA from 1 species
UGAAUGAACUCAGGUUUAUAUAUGUGUCGUGCCCACACACUGCGAUGUGCUUUUAGAAACUCUAUUGAGUACCUUAAUGGACUGGAAUAUUGAGCGUAAGUUACUAACUUUGACCGUAGAUAAUUGCACCACAAAUGAUGCAAUGAUCAGUACUGUGUUAAGUCAACUUUGUACUUGUUCUCUUGUGCUGAAUGGUGUUUUUUUCAUAUGAGGUGUUGUGCACAUAUAUUAAAUCUUAUUGUGAAGGAUGGGUUGGACAUUAUUAGUGGUAGUGUUGAGAAAAUUCAUGAUAGUGUUGCUUAUGGGACAGCCAUGCCAAAGAUAUCUGAAAAAUUUGAGCUCUUUGCACAUCAAUUGAAAAUUAAUUGUGAGAAAAAAUUAGUACUUGAUUGUAAAACAAGGUGGAAUUCGACGUAUUUGAUGCUUAGUACUGCUUUGAUUUAUAAGGAUGUUUUUUCGCGUUUGAAACAAAGGGAGUCACGAUAUACAUGUUACCCUAGUGAUGGUGAUUGGGAUUUAGCAAAAGAAAUAUGUGAGAAGUUAAAGGUUUUUUUUUUUUUAGGUUACUGAAUUAUUUUUAGGAACAAAGUAUCCAACUGCUAAUCUCUUCUUUGCAAAUGUUUGUGAUAUCAAACUGUCGUUGUAUGAGUGGCUUGAAUCUCCAUACAUGGAAGUUCAAAUGAUGGUAACCAGUAUGAUGGAAAAGUUCAAUAAGUAUUGGAGCAAUAUUCAUGGAGUUUUGGCUUUAGCAACAGUGCUGGAUCCGAGGUAUAAGAUGAUGUUAGUUAAGUUUUAUUAUCUUUGUAUUUUUAAUCACAAUGCUGCAAGUGAGAUUGACAAAACAUAUCAAGUUUGUGGCAAGUUGGCGCAUGAUUAUCAGAAAAAGAAUGAUUCAAGUGGGUCUAUAUCUCAGUCUUCUACUUCUUCUUGUCAAACCGAGAUGUCAAGUGCUAAGAAUAAAUCAGAUCGUAUGGUGGAUUUUUAUAAGUUUGUUUCUAAUGUUGAAGCUCCUAGUAGUGUGAAAACUGAGCUUGAUACUUUUUUGGAUGAGCCUAUAUUGCCUCAGUCGGAUGAUUUUGAUAUAUUGACAUGGUGGAAAGUGGAUUCAAUCAAAUAUCCGACUUUAGCUCUUAUUGCAAAAGCUAUUUUAGCCAUCCCGGUAUCUACUGUGGCAUCCGAAACUGCUUUCAGUACUAGUGGUAGAUUUGUUAGUCCACACAGAAAUUGACUUCACCCCAAAACUUUGGAGGCUUACAUGUGUGCUCAAGAUUGGUUAUGGACCGAUAUUCACGAUACGAUGUAUAUAAAUAUUUGCUUUUUAUAUUGUUUCUUUUAUGAAUUUUCUUAUUACUAAUUAUUUUAUUUUAUUAAUAGGAAAUUCUGCACCGUCUGCAUAUUUUGGAAGUUGCUCCAUGGUGAAUGAUGAGGAUGUUGAUGAGGAGGUA